rnacentral:rRNA from 1 species
UACGUAGGUGGCAAGCGUUGUCCGGAUUUACUGGGCGUAAAGAGCGCGCAGGCGGACUAUCAAGUCGCGUGUGAAAGCCCCCGGCUCAACUGGGGAGGGUCAUUCGAUACUGAUCGACUCGAAGGCAGGAGAGGGUAGUGGAAUUCCCGGUGUAGUGGUGAAAUGCGUAGAUAUCGGGAGGAACACCAGUGGCGAAGGCGACUACCUGGCCUGUUCUUGACGCUGAGGCGCGAAAGCUAGGGGAGCAAACGGG